rnacentral:rRNA from 1 species
GACGAACGCUGGCGGCGUGCCUAAUACAUGCAAGUCGAACGCAGUGGGGACGGGUGCGUAACACGUGGGUAACCUCCCAUCAGAGGGGAUAACACUUGGAAACAGGUGCUAAACCGAUACUGAUGGAUGGACCCGCGGGGCAUUAGCUAGUUGGUGAGGUAACGGCUCACCAAGGCCACGAUGCAUACCGGGCCUGAGAGGGUGAUCGGCGACACUGGGACUGAGACACGGACCAGACUCCUACGGGAGGCAGAAGUAGGGAAUCUUGGGCAAUGGACGCAAGUCUGACCGAGCAACGCCGCGUGAAUGAAGAAGGUUUUCGGAUAGUAAAACACUGUUAUUAGAGAAGCGUUAUCUACACAGGAAGCAACGGCUAACUACGUGCCAGCAGCCGCGGUAAUUC